rnacentral:sRNA from 1 species
UAUUCAGUGGGGCAGGUUAAGAUCGUGACGUCCUGUCGCAACACCGGCACUAGCACGUCCUGUGCG